rnacentral:lncRNA from 1 species
ACAUAUUCAAAGGUUCGACUGCUAACUACACAUGAGGAACUAAAAUUAGUUUUACAUUUAUGUUGCUGUUAACAUCAAACUACGAAUCUACACCAGCUAACGAAUAUCAACAAUCUGAUACAAAUCAUCAGUCCAAACAGCUCAGUCUUAUGUUCAAAUAGGUCAAUAGAAUAAUAUGAAACUACCGGAGAAUCUAACAUGAAAAUUGACAAAAAACAAAGCUAUUCUGCCAUUGAAUUCAUGUUCACAACUUGGAGAUUUCAGGAUGUAUACCUGGAUUUGAAUGAAUAGAAGAACAUGAGUCAGUCACAGAGUGUUAGACAGUAAUCAACAACUCAAAUCAGCAGCAAACAAAACCAACUUUAGGCCCGAAUCAACACCACAAUUCCCAGGAAGGAAUAACAGGGAAGCAACUCCAAGUGAAUCAACCAAACACACUUGUUUGAACUCAAAUUUACUUGAAUGUAAACCAUGAACACCUUUGAAAACUUCAGCAACCAAAAUUAAGCUAAAUGAUGCAAAUCAACACUAAACUUUAAAUUAAACCCAAAAUUACAAUAGAACAGUUUUUUUUAGUUUUCUGCUGUAUUUUCCUUUUGUUUUUGGUUUUCUUUGAAGAUUUGGAAUUUGAAUUUCAAAUUUCAUAUUUGAAACUUGAAGAACACUUUUUUAGGGAAUUUUCAGUUGUGGAAAACUUUGGAAUAUUUUUGGGGGAAAAUUUUUUGAGGCUCAAAACUUGUGAAUUAAGGUAUUGGGGCAGCUUUAUAUAGGUACAGAUGAGGGCAGCCUCAAAUUACUUCAGUUUUGCAUUACAUCCUUUUUUUAAUUUUCGUUUUUUGCAUAAGUAUCCCUAAAGUUGUGACUUGUUUUCCAAGUUGCUCUAUCUAAAGUCUGAAAUUUCAAUUGAGACCCCUUUUAGGUGCUUCUAGAAUCUGUUACCAAAGAUUUCUUGAGUUGAAUUCCCUAAACUAAGCCCCCAAGUACCGUGUUAUUACUGUUAGAGACAAUUAAGUCAAGCUGAACCAAAUACCCAAACAAAUUGGGUUUUAUCAAACAAGUUCCCCCAUUUUUUAGGCCUCAAAUCACCAAACCCCAACCAAAAAUUAAACUCAAAAGACUGAAUGGGCCAAUGGGAGAUACCCCAACAAAAUCAAAAUUUAAUAAUUUGCAAACAAAGUCGAAUGAAAUGAAAAUAAUGACAGAACUUAACAAGCUUGAAACAAACACGAGCAAACAAAUCUCAAAUCAAGCAGGCGUGGUCAACUUGGAGCGAGAGAAAAAAAAUGGCAGAGAGGAGAAGAGAGAGGCAAACAAUGCAUGGCAUUGGUACUGAGGGACUAAACAAAAGAAUAAAAUGAACAAAAACACCUAUUUGCAAAUGGACGAAACUCGGGCAACUUCAGGCAACUUUGAUUUGACCCGAAACUGGUAUUACCCGCGCGUUCUUUUGAGAACAGAUGAACAAUACUAGUCUCGAGCCACAUCGUUCAUAGAAAACAUGGCAGCUUUUCCGGAUUGCCUCCUUCUUCAUUUUCAGAUUUGAUUUGGACCUGGUCGUGUAAGGAUUUGGGGAGAAAUAGUAGCGGAUUGGGAAUAAGGAUAUGGUGAUUGUUGCACGGCCAGAUUUUGGUGGGGAUUGGAGUUGUUCCACCGGCGACAAUGGUGAUUAUAGGGCUUUGAGAUGAAGGGGAUGGAGUACUAGGGUGUUUGGAA